GAGGAAUAUUGGUCAAUGGGGGCAACCCUGAACCAGCCAAGUCGCGUGAAGGAUGAAGGUCUUAUGGAUUGUAAACUUCUUUUACACGGGAAUAAAGUGGGGGACGUGUCCCCCUUUGCAUGUACCGUGUGAAUAAGGAUCGGCUAACUCCGUGCCAGCAGCCGCGGUAAUACGGAGGAUCCGAGCGUUAUCCGGAUUUAUUGGGUUUAAAGGGUGCGCAGGCGGGAUGUUAAGUCGGCGGUGAAAUUUUGCAGCUCAACUGUAAAAGUGCCUUCGAUACUGGCCUCCUUGAGUGUGGAUGAAGUAGGCGGAAUUUGUGGGGUAGCGGUGAAAUGCUUAGAGAUCACGAGGAACUCCGAUUGCGCAGGCAGCUUACUAAGCCACAACUGACGCUCAUGCACGAAGGCGUGGGGAUCAAACA
rnacentral:rRNA from 1 species